GGAAACAGAGAGGGGGGAGCAUGGUCAGGAGGCAAGAGAGAGGGUGUGGUAUCGCGGGUUGGGAGUGCUAGCACAGCUUUCCAGCUAGGGGAAGGAUGGAUGGACUUGAAGAAUCUUUAGCUCUUCAAAUCUGGAGGAAGGAGGGAGAAUGUGGAAUCUAGAGGAGCAACAGAAAGAACAGAUGAACCCUAAAAAUAGCCCCCUAAGAACUUGGUGCCUGUUCCCAGUUCCAUCAGAGCCGACACCUGUGAAGGAUGGUUUAGAUGGCAGGAAAAGGCUCCAGAAAUCCCAGGUCCAGGAGCUGAAUCUACCUAGCACUACUGUGUCCUCACAAUUCACUCAGCCAGCCUGAGCCAACCAGAGGGAGCCACAGGAGACAGUUCAUUGACACUUACAGCCACCAAGCUGUGUGAAGACAGCCACCACCCAUCUUCAGAGCCCUUUCAUCCCUGCUAACUUCAUCCAGAGCCUUCAACCACAAAUCCACCUUCCCCAACCUCUGUCUCCUGCGCAGCUCAAUAAAGCUACCUGU